CGCUGCGCUAUUGCUCUGGCUGCAACAUCUGUCACCCCAUUGAUCGCCAGGGUUGAUUCGGCUGAUCUGGCUGGCUAGGCGAGUGUCCCUUCCUCCCUCACUGCUCCAUGUGCAUCCCUCCCGAAGCUUUGCGCUCGGUCGAAGAGGACACGGCCUUCCUCGAAUAGAGACAGAUCAGUCUUCGGUCGAGGGUAUACGAGUAGCUGCGCUCCCCUGCUAGAACCUCCAAACAAGCUCUCAAGGUCCAUACCAAACCUAAAGAAAUAAAAGAAUGAGACAGAACAGAGAGAUGGCUG
rnacentral:snRNA from 1 species